rnacentral:misc_RNA from 1 species
CCUUGUGGAGGAGGACGCCGAAGGUGGGGCUAAUGACUGGGGUGAAGUCGUAACAAGGUAGCCGUACCGGAAGGUGCGGCUGGAUCACCUCCUAACAGGGAGACAACAAAAUGUUUAAUAUUAUUAUUUUGUCACCUUAGGUCGAUCGGUAUCUCACGUUCUUAAUUUAUUAAGAAUUUCAUUUCCUAAGUUUUUCUAGGUCACACCCAUUAUUUUUCCUGGGCCAUUAGCUCAGGUGGUUAGAGCGCACCCCUGAUAAGGGUGAGGUCCCUGGUUCAAGUCCAGGAUGGCCCAUAUCUCUAUGUUGGGGGUAUAGCUCAGUUGGUAGAGCGCCUGCUUUGCAAGCAGGAUGUCAGCGGUUCGAGUCCGCUUACCUCCACUGAUUACCACCUCUUCCAUAACCGGUAGUAAAGGAAAUGUUUUGAGUUGUGAUCAAAUUCUGAAAGAAUCUAGCUUCCUAAUGAAAUCAUUAAGAUGCUGGACUCAUUGAAUUAAUUUCAUUGUUUUCAGAGAACCUUGACAACUGCAUAGAUUAUUUUAAAGACAAUAAGCAUCUUUAAUGAUGCAGAUUUAUUAUUUGUGCGAAUGCAUUAAUAACAAUUCUAUUAAGCUGAUGCUUCAAUUUUUGAAGUUAUUGGUCAAGCUACAAAGGGCUCACGGAGGAUACCUAGGCACACAGA